rnacentral:lncRNA from 1 species
CACAGGAUGGGAGUGGAGCGGUUCUUCUGCAAGGCAGGCUCUCUAGAGAGGUGUUGCCUUGGCUGUCGGAAGUGGGAGUGGGGAUGUCCAAGGAGUUGCUGGGGUCUGCAGUUCUAUAGGAGCUCAGGACCACUGGCAACGAGUCUGGGGGGCAGGUGAUUUCUGGCAUUCGGGGGGCAGGUGUGGAGGUGGCAGCAGGAAGGGAUCUAUCCACAGGCAGCAGGACCCUGAAGGGGCAUGGCUGGAAUCUACUUCUGGACGAACUAACAGAGGCAACGCACAUGUCCUCAAGGCUUCAGGGAACUGGACAGGUCAUCAAGGUGCUAGAGAGUCCUCCCAAUGCCCAGAGCAAGAAUGGACAAGGAGAUCAAGGACACUCCCUGUAUAUGGUCCUCCCUCUGCACUGGAUCUUCAAGCCAAAUCAUUUUCCCUCCUGGAUCCCCCAGCCCCAGCCUUACAUCUCCGGAUCCGGCAGAUGGAGAGCCCCUUGUCCCUCCCGGCCCCUGUAACCUA